GCGACUAUAGCUCAGCUGGUAGAGCGCGACGUUGCCAACGUCGAGGUCGCGGGUUCGACCCCCGCUAGUCGCUCCA
rnacentral:tRNA from 1 species